rnacentral:rRNA from 1 species
AACGUGCCUGAUCUCAUCUGAUCUCAGAAGUUAAA